GGGCCUGUAGCUCAGGGGUAGAGCGCUCGCUUUGCAUGCAUGUUGAAAAUGCGAGAGGCCUAGGGUUCAAAUCCCUACCGGUCCA
rnacentral:tRNA from 1 species